GAAAUGACUGGACGAUGACUAAUUAAACGAGAGACAACAAACCACUUAUCUUCCUUCAUGACUCAAUUGAUCGAGAGCCUUCCCAAGUUGCUUUUGCCGUUUUGUUGGUCACAAUGCAGAUGCUUUGAACCUUUGCACAACCGUGGGCAUGUGGCUCCCGUUAAAUAGCCACAAGAUACCCAUAAAAUUAGCACUUCCAAAGUUCUCAUUUACUCUGUCUUCCUCUCAAGUCUAACCGAAGCCCAACAAACCACCACCUCGGCCAUGGCAACCACCCUCGCCACCGACGUCCGCCUCUCCAUCGCGCACCAGACCCGCUUCGCCCUCCGUCUCGCCUCCACCAUCUCAUCCGCCCUAAGUCUGCUGCCAGCAAUGCCGCCUUCUCCCCGGUCUCCCUCCACUCCGCACUUAGCCUCCUCGACGCUGGCGCGGGCAGUGCCACUCGGGACCAACUCGUCGCCACACUCGGGACAGGCGAGGUCGAGGGACUCCACGCGCUCGCCGAGCAGGUGGUCCAGUUUGUGCUCGCCGACGCGUCCUCUGCUGGAGGUCCGCGUGUCGCCUUUGCCAAUGGCGUCUUCGUGGACGCGUCGCUGCUCCUCAAGCCAUCCUUCCAAGAGAUUGCAGUGUGCAAGUACAAGGCCGAGACCCAAUCCAUGGACUUCCAAACUAAGGUGACCCCCCCCCCCAACUUGGUUCUUACCAGAAAACAAAAACAAUGUAAAAGAAUUUUUAACGGACCUAAUUAUGUACAUUUGAGAGAAACAAUGACAUGCUUAACUAACUACUUCAGCCGCCUGUACAUGUUGGCAUGCCACUGCUUCACUCAGAGAGUUUGUUUUCUGCUGAUGUAAUAUAGAGGUCUAUAUUAAUCUUAUACACAUUCUAGAUUUGUAAUUUAGUGGUUAUCGUAUAUCACUGUUUUUUACACUAGAAGCUUCACCUUUGUAAGCAUAGUUCACACCUGCGACCUUGAACUGUGAAUGAUUUUGCUUAUCCUGUUAGUCAGCAUGAUUGGAGAUAACUAGUCUGUUACUUUUCUGAGCAUACCUAAUCUUUUGGGAGUGUAAUUCUCAUACCGUGCUAUCUAGGGAUAUGAAGGCUGGGGAAUUUGCUGAUGUUUUAUACUUUAAUUACGCUCUUCAGCGAAGUGAGAUUAUAAUUUUGGGAGUAUUUCCUGGAAACUUUGUCUCCAACGUAAGAAGAUGUACAAAAAAUCAGCUAAAGAUUAUAAUUUUGGGAAUAUUUCUGUAAAAGGUAUUGCAUAGUGGUGCUUCGAGAUGUUGUGAUGACCAUUUAAAUUUGUAUGCUCAUAUGAAUUGUUUUUCUAUCAUACGUCGUUGUAUGUGCUGAUUUUACUAUGUGUUUGAAAAUUUUACUAUAGAAAUGCUUUAUAAAAACGCUAGUAUGCUGCUUUGCAUUCUUAGCACAACUAUUAUAUUUUGUUCUUUGAAAGAAUUUUCUAUUGGUUUGUUCAAAGGUUGGUGGCACAGCAGUACCGUCAAACUAUUUUCAUUACAUAACUGACCUUUGUUUAUUUUUUCCAUGGCCCAGGCCGCUGAAGUUACUACUCAAGUGAACUCAUGGGUAGAGAAAGUCACGAGCGGUCGCAUCAAGGACAUUCUCCCCUCAGGAUCUAUUGACAAUACCACUAAACUUGUUCUUGCCAAUGCCCUUUAUUUCAAAGGAGCUUGGACAGAGCAGUUUGAUUCAUAUGGAACAAAAAACGACUACUUCUACCUUCUUGAUGGGAGCUCAGUUCAAACACCAUUCAUGUCCAGCAUGGAUGACCAAUACCUUUUGUCUUCUGAUGGGUUGAAGGUACUUAAGCUUCCUUACAAGCAAGGUGGGGACAAUAGGCAGUUCUCCAUGUAUAUCCUUCUUCCAGAAGCACCGGGUGGUCUCUCAAGCUUGGCCGAAAAAUUGAGUGCUGAACCAGACUUCCUGGAGCGGCAUAUCCCAAGGCAGAGGGUUGCACUUAGGCAAUUCAAGCUCCCCAAGUUCAAGAUAUCAUUUGGAAUUGAAGCAUCCGAUUUGCUCAAAUGUUUGGGCCUCCAGCUUCCAUUCGGCGAUGAAGCGGAUUUUUCGGAGAUGGUGGAUUCCCUAAUGCCACAAGGUCUUCGUGUCUCAUAUGUUUUCCACCAAGCGUUUGUGGAAGUGAACGAACAAGGAACUGAGGCUGCAGCAUCAACUACUAUUAAAAUGGUCCCGCAACAGGCAAGGCCGCCCUCGGUCAUGGAUUUCAUCGCGGAUCACCCUUUCCUCUUCCUUCUCCGGGAAGACAUCUCUGGUGUGGUCCUAUUCAUGGGUCAUGUGGUCAAUCCCCUCUUAUCUUCGUAAUGUGUUUGCUCUGAAAGUGUGUGUUGUCAGUUGCCCUCAGCCAUUACAUGUAAGGGAAGGGUUUCGACGGUCAGUCAUGUUACCGAUACAAUAAAUCCAAUAAAUGGUUCUCCUAAGAUAUCCAAUAAAUUGUCUUUUAAUAACUGCUUGCUUGUUGUGCAAAGGAAAACCAAUUGGACUAUUUUUCAUUAAUCAUUGUGGAUUUGUGGUAGUGCGGAUUUCUCAAAGAACUACUCAUGCCAAAAGAAAAAAUCUAAGUCAUCUUGAUUAGUACUAUCCGACAUGAAUCUCAUCGUCAUUAACAUCUAUAUUUCACAAAAAAAUGCCAAUGGCCACUUUUUGAGAUUGAAUAUGCUCUUCAAUUUCUCUUCUUCUUAGAUUUUUCAUAUCCUCGCUUAUCUUUAGAUACACUAUAACUCCUUGAGAUUGGAGCUCCCAGGGCCGAUUGUGUUGAUCGAUUUACAUGGCCCCACAUGAACGGACGUGACCUUCCACGCUACCCUCUUCCUUGCCGCAGAUCCUUCCUCAGUUUCUCUCCCUUCCGAGAAUCUAUUCCGACAUAGAGACAACGCCUCCAGCACUAUAGUUGGUGCGGCCGACCGCUUUCUGGCUCUCCUCUCCGAUUCCCUGCCUCAGAGCAUCUACAGCCUCAAACACGGUGUGUCUGCGGGCACUGAUCGGUCACUUCACAAAUUGGCAUCUACAUUCGUGUAUUUCAUAUCAGAUCUCCUAUAUCCAUACUAAACUAUGUAGCAUUGAUCAAACUACGUAUAUCAUCAAACGGACAAAAAAUGCACUAUACGUUCAUCAAAAGAUCAUCAACGGAUCUUCGAAAUACCGCCAAAGUUCACAUAGUGCACAUAAAUGACGGACAACUUUAAACUACGUCUAAAAACUGAGCGGAUCUUCAUCACUUCCUCGCCGGAACUUUCCCUUUUCGGUCGCCAGCACAGCUGUAGGCGUCGGCGGCUGGUGGAGGAUCGUCCGAGUCGUCGGACGAGGCGCCGUGGUCGUCACUAUCGUCAGAGGAGGAGCAGAGGAUGAUGAGGCGUUUGAGGCGCCGGACGGCCCGGUCCUGCUGCCGUUUGAGCUCCGCCAGCCGAGCCGCCUCCAAUGCUUUCUCCUCUGCCUCGCGCUCGAACUGCUCGAUGGCAAGCCGGAGCACCUUGGCGUUCUUCCAGCGGAGCUGCCGAUCAUCCGUCUCCGCUGUCGUAAGCGACCGGCAGUAGACCCAAGUGGGGAACCGCUCGUCCCCGUCGAGCUCCGCCGGAAACCCGCGGCGGCGGCGGACAUAUUACUCCUCCGCGUCCCUCUCCCUUGCCCGCUGCCUGCGGUGGCGGGCGUCGGACAGAUUUCUCCGCCGCGUCCCUCUUCCUUGCUCGCUGCCUGUCGUGGCGGGCGGCGCGCGCCUAGCGUGCAUGCCGCGCUCGCUGGGCGGGCACAAGUACCCACCGCUACCCAUGUGGGGGAGCAGCAGCCGACGAGGACAGGGGAUAGUGUGGGGGAGGCGCGGACUGCGCAGCCCUCGUGGCGCUGCGUGUGGGCCGGGAGGGGCCUGCGCCGGCGUCCUCGCUGCGCUGGAAGGGGAGAGGUGAGGCGGCAGAUCCGGAACUGACCUCCGUGUCCACCUUGGACCUCUCGACGGCAAUGCGGAGAGCCAGCACCUCGUCGAUGUUGACGUCAGAGUCGGAGCGGCUGCCGGAACUAGACAUGGUCGCCGGAGUCGUUUGACUGAAUCGAAUCUGGGAAAUCCGAGGAGGAGAAGAGAUGAAACGAGAGCGGAGCGAGGUAGGGUUUUCGAUUGGGGAUAUUUGUGGUGACGGCGUGGGGCCGGUGUGGACCGGGCUACCAUGGCGGACGCACCCGGGGCGCUCGAUAUCCGCCCUAGAUUUGAUCUGAAUAUGAGGGGAGUGAGACAGUCCAAGCAUUUGAGGCUUGUUUGAGGACACGUCUGGAUCAAAUUUUCAUGCUCGGUCAAUGAUCGCGCCAUCCGUCCGGACGUUUGAGACGGAUUUAGAAUGCGCGCCUGUAGAUGCUCUCGGCCUCAAUCUUUCGCCUCCAAACGUUCCCCCGCGACCAACCCAAUCCAGGCCUCGUUCACCGUCUAGCAGUCGUCUGCGCCGCCUCCCGCAAUUCCUCCGACCUCCGGUGCAACACUUCAUGUAACUUCCCUGGAUCAUCGCGCUUCCCGCGCCGUCUCGUCGACAGUCGACGUGCGCUUCUCAUGUUCAAUUUUUCAAGGAUAGUGUCACCGCUUUUUUCUCAUAGUGUUUGGCUGCUCGAUCACCUGGCCGCUGUUAAUCUCAUCUCGGUGAUGCAGCAAACAAAGGAGAGUGCGGGUCUGCAGUUCAAGGUCAGACUGCAGUGCAACUGUGCAAUGUAAGUUUGACUGACACGCUUGGAUCUGCCGCGUCUUUGUGCUGGGUGCUAGUCGCUGCCCUGCUAGAUGCAUGGAAGAGUUGCAUGUAUACACACCGGUGUUGAGCGUUGGUGGCCUCAUUGGUGACUGUCGUGGUUCUAAGUCUGACAAUAGAAUGGGGGGUAAGUAUGGAAAGGCAAGGUCCUAGCUAUGGAGUAGUUGUACACACGGGUGUUUAGCGAGUUUAGACCCUUCUCUGAGGAAGUAACAGCCCUACGUCUCGGAGCCCGGAGGCGGUCGACUGAUCUCUAUGUAUAUGAGUUACAGAAGUGCGAACCUUUCUACCAGUGGAGGGGGGUGGCUUAUAUAGAGGACGCCAGGACCCCAGCCAGCCCACAUAGAGGAGGGUUAAAGUACAUUAAGGCUGGGCGUUACUGGUAACGCCCUAUAUAAAGUGUCAUCAUGACCAUUAAGACUAUUUAAUUACAGACCGUUUGGAUGCAGAGUAGAUCCUGAACUUCCGAUAGUCGAGUGCGUCUUCAUGGUCGAGUGUCUUCUAGCUAGUCGGGUGGAGUCUCCCUUGGUAGAGUGGAGCUUCUUUUGGUCGACCGGAAGGUAGCUUCGUAUGAUAAUGUCCUUUGGCAUGGUAUCCUAGAUAGGUCCAUGACCCUAACCUAGGUACAUAACCUCAUCAUUAGCCCCCGAAUGGAUCGAGGUUCGAGUGAGGAAGGAGUUGACGAUUUUCUCCGACUUAUUUACUGUACUUUGAUUGUGUCGUAUCUUGGAUCGGCGAUUCUUCUUUCGGCGCUGGCGUCGACUUUUACUUCAGUCGCCUUGAUCCAUUCUUAUCUUUUGUCGAGUGAACUUUUGAACUCCGGUGAACUUACGAGCGACGGAUCGCGGGAAGGAUAUCGUCUGACAGAUUGAUCUGCUGUUAGCGGAUUUUGCGGGAUCUGAAAUUUGGGAAGCGCACGAAGCGGGGCAAUCCGCGGCAAUCGGGCGGGAUAAGGCAUGGACGCCUUGAUUUCCGCGUCGCCUUUUUCGCCACGUAUCGUACGUGUGCGACUGUUUCGGGAUGUGACAGAUCUGCUCGGACCCACUCGUCAGCCACUCGGAAGCGCCCUUAUAUAAAGCGUCGGGGAAGAGUUUUUGAACAGUGCCUCCCCAUUCUCCUCUCUUCCCUCUCUGCCUCCGCCCACGGCGCCUGCUCCUAGCUCCGCCUUAUCCACCUCUCGAGCGCUUCGCCGACGAUAAUGGUGAAGGAGAAGACGGCGGUUCUAGAGCGCGCGAAGAAGGUGACGGCGACGGGGCAAGCGAAGGGGAGACCGUCCAGUCGGGGCGGAUCUUCGUCGAGGUCCCGCCUGCCGAAGGGUUGGGUCCAAGGGGAUUGGAUCCGCUCGACCAUCACUGGGAAGGACCUCGACGACCUGGCCAAUGAGGGACUGAUCCCCCACGGGUCAGCAAGGCCCCCGGGGUCCGAGUGUCAACCGCAGCCGCAGGAGGGUGAGCGCGUUCUCUUAGCCACUCACGUAGAUCGUGGUUUUUCUCUGCCGCCGAGUGUGUUCUUCCGUGGGUUUCUGAAAUUCUUUGGGGCGCAACUCCACCAUUUCAAUCCCAAUUCCAUCGCCUAUCUUGCUGCCUUUGUGUCCAUGUGCGAGAACUUCCUGGGUUGUCGACCGCACUGGGGUCUCUUCAAGCACAUAUUCACCUGUCGGUCGCAGACCGUAAAAAAGGCGAGCUCGGGUGAUGAGAGGACCAAGGUUAUUCAGAUGUGCGGGGGUCUUGGGAUUCAGUUGAGGAAUAAGAGCACUUUCCCGGCCAUGACCCUUCCUGAGUCGGUCAGAGGGUGGCAGUCGACUUGAUUCUACUGCCAAGACGAGUCGACGCCGGGGCAGUCGACUGGUCUCCCUCCGUUCUCCAUGGACCGAGUGGUCAAACCGUCUUCUCUGAAGGUGCUUCCUGAGGAGAAAGCCGAGGUAAAAAUGUUGGUGGAGCGCAUGGUCCAACUCGUUCGGGACGGAGUGACGGGCAUGGAUCUUCUGAAAGUAUUCCUUAGGCGGCGCAUCCAACCGCUCCAGUAUCGAGGCCACCCGAUGUGGUUGUACUGCGGUACCGAAGACACCACUCGGGUCCAUCCAGAGGCAGUCGACGACGCCACGCUGGAGAGGUGGGUGACCUCCAUCACAGGGAACAAGGACAACCGUCGAGGAGUGAGGAGGAUCCCGCCACUCGACUGUACCUAUACGCCGGACAAGGUAUGGCCGCUUAUCUCCGAGUGUAAUUUUGUUUUAUCCAUUCUGCUUUGCCACAAAUUGGUCGAUUGAUCUUUGUUUUGCUCUGUUGUCUGAUAGGCCACCACUGAAUUGUACUCGAUUCCCAAUGGGGCGCAGACGCCGACUGAGGAGGAGGAAGGAAGCGGGGGCGAAAGCCCGGAGGAGUGGGAUUCAGAUGUCGACGACGACGAUGAGGGUGAUGACUCUAGUGAGGAGGAAGAAGAGGAGGAAGAGGAGGAAGUUGCACCUCCCCGCUCGGAAAGACGCUCGAAGCUUGCCCAUGAUCCAGCGACUGAGCGGGGUAAGGGGGUCGCAACCGCUUCUCAGUCGACCAAGCGCCCUCGGACCACUUCUCCGGCGCCGACUGAGAAGGCUCCGAAGCAAUCUCGAGUGGCACCGUCGAAGCCUGCAAAGGUCUUGCCGAAGAUGAAGAUGGUGAUCCCCACUAUCUCAGGGUAAUGGUAGUUUUGAGCUUUCCCUGUUUCAUGAACUUGUUCUUGGUCGACUCAUGGUCCAAUCGACUGACUUUUGGAACUGCAGCGUUGCUACUUCCGACACUUCGGCGAGAGCCGAAGACCACGAGAUGGAGGAUGCUGCAACCUCGAACCCUGGUAUGACUCCUGCGUUGCCGUUUUCAGUCGACUGACUCAUUGUCUCUAAUUUUUAUUCUUUCUGCAGUUUCAUCUAACAUUGUUAUUGACCUUCCUGACGACGACGAUGAAUAACCACCACGGCCGAGGAAAAGCAAGAAAACGUCGGCUGGCAAGGCGACUCAGGAUGUGCCGGCACCCGAGACGUUAGUCGUGGAGGGAGACAAUGUCACUCGACCCACCGUAACCUUCGCGGUGCCGUUGAUGAGUGCUCGCCCUUCAUCGUCGAGUGCUGCUCAACCCUCGCUUUUCUCCACCUACCCCGUUCCAGAAGACCAAGCCAGUGCUGCCAAAGAAGCGAUACGCCAGGCGGGGGUCAUGAUGGAGCAAGUGAAGGCAAUUCGAGAAGCCAGCCAGGCAGCCUAUGACGCCAGUUCGGCACUCCAGAGUAAUGUUCAGGUCAGUCGGUCACUGCCUGUUCUUCUUUCUGAAAUUCCUAGAGUCUGUCCUACACCCAGUGGGUGUGUGUCGAUUAAAAUUCCGGGUUAGUGGGGGCACGCUGAGUGCACCCACUGGGUGUAGUCCCCAAGGCUAUGGUGGACUGCUGGCAGUCGACCAUAGUCUUAAUGCUUUGAGUUUUUCUUUACUCGACAAGGUCGAAUAGAUUCAUAGACCGGUGGGGGCACGCUGAGUGCACCCACUGGGUGUAGUCCCCGAGACUGUGGUCGACUGCUGGCAGUUGACUAUAGUCUAAAGAACAUUGCCUCUCUUUUUUUUGUUGGUCGACUAGUCGACUCUUGAUGAAACUAGUGGGGGCACGCUGAGUGCACCCACUGGGUGUAGUCCCCGAGACUAUGGUCGAAUGUUUGCAUUCGACCGUAGUCUUAGAAACGCUAUGAUUUUUCCUUACUCACUCGGAAGUGAAUUUUCUUUGACGUCUGUCGAUUGAUUCUUCGUAGAAAUCAUGUGACCUUGUGGCUCGUUAUACUGAGUUGGAGAACAAACACAUUCAGCUCGAGCUCGAUCUGAAACUGGCCCAAGAGACCUUGACGAAGGCGAAGGAGGAAGCUAAAGGUAUGCUUGGUGAGGCCUUUGACGACUGCCUUUGCCUCUCACUUGUUUCCGAAUCUGAUCUCACUGUAACUUUGUAGGCAAAGUGAUGGACGCCCUGAAGAAACAAGAGCUUGACUUGGCUGAGAUGCAAAAGACUGCUUUAGAGAAGACCAGGCUAGCGGAUGAGAAGCUGGCUUCAGUGACUAAGCUUGAAGAAGAAAACACCAAUCUGAAAGCUGCUCUUGAUGCUGCCAACCAGGAGGUCACUUAACUGAAAAGCGACAAGACCACCCUGAAUGACAAGGCCAGUGAGUUGAAGAGAAAGAAGAAUGAUCUAGAGGCUUAUCUGGGUGGACUCGCCAAGAAGUUGUUCCUCAUGCUUGAAGGUAAUCCUUUGUAUCGAACAAAUAUUUUAAUUGUAACCUCUGACUGUUUGUCUUGACUCGGUGGUUGUGCUUGCAGAAUUUUGUCAGAACUUUGAAGAGGAGACUGGUCGACUGGAAGUGAACCUGGACCCCAUCAACUCUCCUGUGAAAGAUGAAGUUGCCAUGAACAUGCUCCGACUUGAAUCUCGUGUUGCUGCUAUCAUCGAUUAUCUCGCAAGGCUGAAGGUCGCAACUUCCUGCAUCGACACAACACUCUGGCCAAGAGAGACACUCCAGAACGACCUCGAGUCUCUGAUGACUCGACUGAACGAGGUCCCAAGUCGAGUGCAGGAGUGGAAGAAGUCUUCGGCCAGGUGUGGCGCGGAUGUUGCUCUAUCUCUGGUCCGCGUUCACUGCAAGGAUGCAUGAGAGGACAAGCUGGUGGCUCUCAGGGUGGCCAACACCAAGAAGCACGAUUUCAGAUCCUUCAUGGAGACCUUCAUUGCCGCUGCCACUCGGAUUGCAGAUGGAAUCGAUCUGGACGAGUUUGUGGCACCUUCCAGCCCUCCACAGGAGGGGUAAAAAACUUUUGAGCUUGAUACUUUAAAUUUGCCUCGGUAUGCCGAGUGAGUUUUGUAACCGACAAACCUUAACAGGCCUAGCGCCUGAGCACUUUCGGUUCCGCUAGGUGUUAUCCAAACUUGGGUUCGUCGCUGAAUAUGUUUGCAUUUGGUUUGAGGCGUCUUUUGCAGGUUAAAGCGAAGCGCUUAUUGCCAUCGACUUGUCCCCCAAUUCACUUAGGCGGGCACUGGGCUGCAGCUAAGUCCCCGAGCGAGAGGUUUUCCCUCCACUCGGUAGGAUUUCAGACACUUAGGCGAGCACUGGGCCGCAGCUAAGCCCCCGAGUGGGAGGUCUGCUCUCCACUCGGUAGGAUUUCAGAAACUUAGGCGAGCACUGGGCUGCAGCUAAGCCCCCGAGUGGGAGGUCUGCUCUCCACUCAGUAGGAUUUCAAACACUUAGGCGAGCACUGGGCUGCAGCUAAGCCCCCGAGUGGGAGGUCUGCUCUCCACUCGGUAGGAUUUCAGACACUUAGGCGAGCACUGGGCUGCAGCUAAGCCCCCGAGUGGGAGGUCUACUCUCCACUCGGUAGGAUUUCAGACNNNNNNNNNNNNNNNNNNNNNNNNNNNNNNNNNNNNNNNNNNNNNNNNNNNNNNNNNNNNNNNNNNNNNNNNNNNNNNNNNNNNNNNNNNNNNNNNNNNNNNNNNNNNNNNNNNNNNNNNNNNNNNNNNNNNNNNNNNNNNNNNNNNNNNNNNNNNNNNNNNNNNNNNNNNNNNNNNNNNNNNNNNNNNNNNNNNNNNNNNNNNNNNNNNNNNNNNNNNNNNNNNNNNNNNNNNNNNNNNNNNNNNNNNNNNNNNNNNNNNNNNNNNNNNNNNNNNNNNNNNNNNNNNNNNNNNNNNNNNNNNNNNNNNNNNNNNNNNNNNNNNNNNNNNNNNNNNNNNNNNNNNNNNNNNNNNNNNNNNNNNNNNNNNNNNNNNNNNNNNNNNNNNNNNNNNNNNNNNNUAAGCCCCCGAGUGGGAGGUCUGCUCUCCACUCGGUAGGAUUUCAGACACUUAGGCGAGCACUGGGCUGCAGCUAAGCCCCCGAGUGGGAGGUCUGCUCUCCACUCGGUAGGAUUUCAGAAACUUAGGCGAGCACUGGGCUGCAGCUAAGCCCCCGAGUGGGAGGUCUGCUCUCCACUCGGUAGGAUUUCAAACACUUAGGCGAGCACUGGGCUGCAGCUAAGCCCCCGAGUGGGAGGUCUGCUCUCCACUCGGUAGGAUUUUUGAAUUGGUGGCGCAACUCGGAAGGAGAGGGUAGCAGUCGACCUGCACCUCGUCCUCCUUGCGGAACGCAUGUUGUACUUGUACUUAGGCGAGUUCUUGGACUGCAGCUAGGCCUCCGAGUGGAAGGCUGGCUUACCACUCGGUAGGAUUUUAUUUAUCUUAGGCGAGUACUUGGACUGCAGCUAAGCCUCCGAGUGGAAGGCUGGCUUACCACUCGGUAGGAUUUUAUUUAUCUUAGGCGAGUACUUGGACUGCAGCUAAGCCUCCGAGUGGAAGGCUGGCUUACCACUCGGUAGGAUUUUAUUUAUCUUAGGCGAGUACUUGGACUGCAGCUAAGCCUCCGAGUGGAAGGCUGGCUUACCACUCAGUAGGAUUUUAUUUAUCUUAGGCGAAACGGAUUUUACAGCUAAGCCUUCGUGUGGGAGACUGACUCACCACUCGGUUAGGAUUUGUUUUUACAGACUUAGGCGAAUCGGAUUCGCAGCUAAGCCACCCACUGGGGGAUUGUUUUAUAUGGACAAAAGUAAUAACAAUCACUGGGAAAACUAUAAAGCUCUUGUCUUUGAUAAAUAAACUACAGGAGUACUUUUAUUACAACUCAUCCGAGUGAAUACCUAAGUGUAAAAGGGGCGGAGAAGCUCCGCGUUCCAAGCUCGGGGCUCGUCAAUCUGAUGCUUGACAUUGUAAAGACGGUAUGCUCCAUUGUGGAGAACCUUGGUGACCAUGAAGGGACCUUCCCAAGAAGGAGCAAGCUUGUGUGGUUUCUGCUGGUCCACUCGGAGAACUAAAUCUCCUUCCUGGAAGGCUCGACUCUUCAUGUUUUUGGCGUGGAAGCGACGCAAGUCUUGUUGAUAAAUGGUCGAUCUGAUCAGAGCCAUCUCUCUUUCUUCCUCUAAAAGGUCGACUGCGUCCUGCCGCGCUUGUUCUGCUUCAGCUUCGGUGUAGAGCUCGACUCGGGGAGCGUUGUGGAGAAGAUCACUCGGCAAGACUGCUUCAGCUCCGUAGACCAAGAAGAAUGGAGUUCUUCCAGUCGACCGGUUGGGUGUGGUCCUUAACCCCCAAAGCACCGAGGGAAGUUCGUCAACCCAUGCACCAGCCGCAUGCUUGAGAUCACGCAUCAAACGGGGCUUCAACCCUUUGAGAAUUAAACCGUUGGCUCAUUCUGCCUGUCCAUUCGUCUGCGGAUGGGCAACUGAAGCAUAGUCGACUCGCGUGCCUUGAGACGUGCAGAAAGCUCUGAAUUCUUCAGAAUCGAAGUUUGACCCGUUAUCAGUGAUGAUGUUGUGCGGGACUCCAUAUCUAAAUAUCAGUUCUCGGAUGAAGCUGACAGCGGUACCAGCAUCGAGGUUCUUGAUGGGUUUGGCCUUAAUCCACUUGGUAAACUUGUCGACUGCUACCAGCACAUGUGUGAAACCGCUUCUUCCUGUUCUCAAUGGGCCAACCAUAUCCAAACCCCAUACAACAAAGGGCCAGACAAGUGGUAUGGUCUUUAAGGCUGAGGCAGGCUUGUGUGACAUAUUGGAGUAAAAUUGACAUCCCUCACACUUGUCGACUAUCUCCUUCGCCAUUUCAUUCGCUCUGGGCCAAUAAAAACCAGCUCGGUAUGCUUUGGCCACGAUGGUCCGAGAAGACGCAUGAUGGCCACAGGUCCCCGAGUGGAUGUCAUUGAGAAUCAUUCGACCUUCCUCCGGUGUUAUGCAUUUCUGGCUGACUCCAGUCGCACUUUCUCUGUACAACUGACCUCUCAUGACGGUGAAGGCUUUGGACCGGCGGACGAUCUCUCGAGCUUCUUCUUCAUUCUCGGGGAGUUCCUUCCUCAAAAUAUAGGCGAUGUAGGGCACUGUCCAAUCGGGAGUGAUGACCAAAACUUCCAUGAUCAAGUCGACCACCGCUGGGACCUCGACUUCAGUCGGAUCUGUGGCGCUUUUAGGCUGCGGGGCUUCUGCAGUGAAAGGAUCCUCUUGAACCGAUGGCGUGUAGACAUGUUCCAAAAACACGCCACUCGGAAUGGCUUCCCUCUUGGAACCUAUCUUUGCCAAGUCAUCGGCUGCUUGAUUUUUCAGUCGGGGAACGUGAUGGAGUUCUAACCCUUCGAAUUUCUUUUCAAGCUUCCUCACUGCAUUGCAGUAUCUAGUCAUGGAUGGGCUUCUCACGUCCCACUCCUUCAUCACCUGAUUGACCACCAAAUCUGAGUCGCCGUAAACCAUAAGGCGACGGACGCUGAGUGAAAUGUCCAUGCGCAACCCAUACAACAGUGCUUCAUAUUCUGCUUCAUUGUUGGAGGAAUCAAAGUGGAUCUGGAGCACAUAUCUGAGCUUAUCUCCUCGGGGAGAAACCAAAACUACCCCAGCACCAGAACCAUUUAACAUCUUAGAGCCAUCAAAGAACAUGGUCCAAUGCUCCGAGUGAACUUGAGUCGGCUGCUGCUGUUCAAUCCACUCGGCAAGGAAAUCUGCUAUAGCCUGGGACUUAAUGGCUUUCUUUGCCUCGAAUUUGAUAUCAAGGGGAAGGAGUUCAAUCGCCCAUUUAGCCACUCGACCAGUUGCAUCUCUGUUGUGCAGAAUCUCCGACAAUGGUGCGUCGCUGACGACUAUAAUGUCAUGAUCAGAGAAAUAAUGAGCAACCUUCUUCAUGGUCAUGUAGAUCCCAUAUACGAGCUUCUGAUAAUGAGGAUAUCUUUGCUUCGAUCGGGUCAAAACUUUAGAGAGAUAAUACACUGGGCGCUGAACUUUGAAGGCUUUCCCUUCUACUUCCCGCUCGACCGUAAGUAUUGUACUGACGACUUGUCCUGUGGCUGCAAUAUAAAGCAACAGUGGCUCUUUACUGAUUGGAGCGGCAAGCACCGGCUAGGUGGAGAGCAGAGUUUUUAACUCGGCAAACGCUGCAUCAGCUUUUGGAGUCCACUCGAACUUGUCUGCCUUCUUCAUCAGUCGGUAAAGGGGCAACGCCUUUUCACCGAGGCGAGAGAUGAAUCGACUUAACGCGGCCAGGCAUCCAGUAAGCUUCUGGACAUCGUGCACACGCACAGGGCGUUUCAUUCGGAGUAUGGUGCCAACUUUUUCUGGGUUAGCAUCGAUUCCUCGUUCCGAAACGAGAAAACCGAGUAACUUCCCACCAGGUACUCCGAAUGUGCACUUUGAAGGAUUGAGCUUGAUAUCAUACCUCCUGAGAUUGGCAAAUGUUUCAGCUAAGUUAGUCAACAGGUCGGAACCCUUUCGCGACUUGACCACGAUAUCAUCCAUGUAUGCUUCCACAUUCCAACUAAUUUGAGUGAGUAAACACUUUUGAAUCAUUCUCAUGAAUGUGGCUCCGGCAUUCUUGAGGCCGAAAGGCAUGGUGAUAUAGCAGAAGCACCCGAAUGGGGUGAUGAAAGCUGUUUUGAUUUCAUCGGGCCCAUACAGACGGAUCUGAUGAUACCCGGAAUAAGCGUCCAGAAAAGACAAUCUCUCGCACCCUGCGGUCGAGUCGACAAUUUGGUCGACGCGAGGGAGAGGAAAAUGAUCUUUCGGGUAGGCCUGAUUGAUAUGUUUGAAAUCAAUGCACAUACGAAGGGAAUUGUCCUUUUUGCGAACCAUAACGACAUUGGCGAGCCACUCGGAGUGGUAUAUCUCUCGGAUGAACUCUGCUGCAAGGAGUCGAGCCACCUCUUCGCCAAUGGCUUUUUUGUUCUGAACAGCGGACCGUCGAAGAUGUUCUUUAACGAGUUUUGCCUUUGAAUCGACUCUAAGGCGAUGCUCAGCCAGUCCCCUGGGAACACCUGGCAUGUCAGCUGGCUUCCAUGCGAAGAUGUCCCAGUUCUCACGGAGGAACUGGAUGAGCGCUUCUUCCUAUUUAGAGUCGGGUGUAGUGGAAAUAUGGGUCGGAGCUGCAUUGGGGUCAGUCGGGUGGAUGUGAACUGGCUUCGUCUCACCGGACGACUGAAAUGCUGACUCUGUGGCGGGCUUCUUGGCUCGCAGUAAAUCACUCGGAUCUGCGUUCUUCUUGUACCCCUCUAGCUCUAUCACUGUUAUCUGGUCAUCCGCAAUCUUUGAGCCUUUCUGGAAACACUCUUCUGCUUUCUUCCGGUUACCAGUGACGGUGAUCACGCCUUUGGGGCCAGGCAUCUUUAACUUGAGGUACACGUAACAUGGUCGAUCCAUGAAGCGGGCGUAGGCUGGUCUUCCCAAGAUAGUGUGGUAGGCGCUCUGGAAAUCCACGAUUUCAAAUGUCAGCUUCUCUUUGCGGAAAUGCUUCGAGUCACCGAACACCACAUCCAGAGCUAUUUGGCCGAGUGACUCAGCCUUCUUUCCUGGGAUGACUCCGUGAAAACUCAUGUUGCUGGAACUGAGCCUGGACAUCGGAAUGCCCAUUCCCUUGAGCGUCUCUGCAUAUAGUAUGUUCAACCCGCUGCCGCCAUUCAUCAAUACCUUCGUCAGUCGAGUGCCUUCGACGACCGGGUCGGCCACCAGUGCUUGCCUCCCAGGGGUGGCAAUAUGAGUAGGAUGGUCCGACUGGUCGAAAGUAAUGGGAGUUUGCGACCAUCUCAGAUAGUUUGGUGUUGCUGGUGCGACCAUAUUGACUUCACGGUUGAUCACUUUCAGUCGACUUUUGCUCUCUACAUCAGCAAAAAUCAUCAGAGUGAAGUUGACAUGAGGGUACUCACCAUCACUGUCCUGCUUGUCCUCAGCCUUGUCUGACUCCUUCUCUUUGUCCUUCAGCUGUUUCCCUUGGAACUGCUGGAUUAAGAGCCGGCACUGGCGAGUGGUAUGCUUUGGGUAGAUGAAGUUACCCUCUUCGUCUUUCUUCGUGUGGAUAUGACACGGCAGGUCCAUCACAUCAUUACCCUCCUUAUCUUUUACCUUCUUGGGGUUCCAAGAUCCUUUGGGCUUCCCUUUAAAUUUGCCCUGUGUCACGGCUAGAGCCUCUCCAGGAGCUGCUGGCUCGGCCUUCCGCUUCUGCUUCCGACUGGAGUUUCCUUUAUCCGACUAACUCGGCUUGUACUUGCCGCUCCGGAGUCGGUCCUCUUCUUCGCCGUUGGCGUACUUGGUGGCUAUUUCCAUCAUCCGACUCAGGGUCAUGUCUCCAGUUCGACCAAACUUCAGGCUCAACUCUUUGUUCUUGACGCCAUCUUUGAAGGCGCAAACCGCUUGAUGGUCCGACACAUUCUCUACAGUGUGAUGCAAAGUGAUCCACCUCUGGAUGUAAUCCCUCAGUGUUUCACUCGACUUUUGUACACAAACUUGUAGCUCAGUUAAUCCAGCAGGUCGCUUGCAAGUUCCCUCAAACGUCCUGACGAACACUCGAGAAAGAUCUACCCAGGUGUAAAUGUUGCUGGGAGCUAACUGAUUCAACCAUGCCCUGGCUGAACCUCCUAGAAUAAGUGGCAAAUGUUUCAUGGCCACCUCAUCAUUACCGCCACCAAUCUGAACAGCCACUCGGUAGUCUUCGAGCCAAGUUUCAGGCUUAGACUCUCCGGUGAACUUAUUCACCCCAUUCGCCAACCUGAAGUUGGGGGGUAUCACUGCGGUUCUGAUCGCUCUGCGAAAACAUUCUGGACCUGAAACAUGGACUCGGCUGCUUGUGGGCACAUCUCUGUCAUGACCACCUCUAUGAGCUCUGUUUCAGUCGACCAAACCUUGCACGAUGAUGGAUCUCGCGUCAAAGCCUGGCUCUCUGGGGUCGACUGGAGCUCUCUGCCCAACACUGAGCUGGCUUCUAUCAUCUUGCUGCCGAUGGGCGUUAGACCCACUUCUCGGAGGAGGAGUGGGCACUCGACGCCUGUCAUCACGAUCAAAUCGAUCAUCAUAGUGGUCCCGCCGGCCUUCACGUCCCACGCGCCUCGGAGGCGACCUUGGACUGUCAGCUGACUGAAUAGUAUUCGCAGCAACAGAUCGACUGUGAAUCCUGUUAGGUGACUGUGACACAGCUGAAUUCUGAUCUCCUGCUGCCCGGAGCAAAUCUCUGAUCUGCAUCAAGCCUCUUCCAGCCUCUGACUGAGAGGGCUGAAUUGACUCUGCUAUGCGGGCUGCAGCUGCCAAAUUCUGAAUUGGGGUUCGAUAUACCUGAGUUGGUUGCGGAAAGAGCUGACGUCGAUUGGAGUUAGUCGCUCGUUGACGCGCAUGCUCGUCGAGUGCUCGCUGAAGGUUCUCCAGUCGAGUGUGUUCAGCCAGGUUGGCUAAACGCGCCUCUUCCAGGGCACGAGCCUCAGGAGUUUCUCCUGCAAUGGGAGUAUGCAGGGCAUCCAUGUUCUGGCGGCGAAGUUCUUCCCUCUGCUGGGAAGUGAGCGGCUCGGGUUGGUACUCUUCAUGGGCUUGAGCAGGGUCAUCCUCGUCGUCCAUCCCGUCGCCACGGGGGAAACCGGGAGGACUACGGGGCCCAUUGACCAUCAGGACCUCCGCCGUCGGAUCACUGCUAUCGCACUCGGAUGCAGCCUCUACAGAGCCAGUCGACAGGUCGAAUAGGCCGUAGAGAGAUCCGUCAGGCUCAAUCGCCGCGACUUGGGUGGUGGCCGAUUGGCGAGCCACUGCGUGUCUCACCCAUCGCUGGAGCCUCAACCGACCGGAGCGCUUGCGCUGGCGGGAGACAGGGAGGGAGGACGGCGCAGGAGUCGACCGGUAUGGGGUCGACGGCUGCCGCAGCAAGACGCUGCGGACACACACCCGAAAGUGCAUCGCCCCGCGGACGGGGAGCGCUCCGAUGUCGAGUGGUGCCUCCUGGAGCCAAGCGGAGUCGUCGGCGAUGAAAGUGAGCGCACCGAGACGGAUCUCGUGGCCCUCGACCAGAGCUCUGCCAGAAACCAUGAUGAAGGCGAUCGGACAAAUUGCAACUUCUCCAAAAAAGUCGCUAAGACACCUGCCCCACGGUGGGCGCCAACUGUCGUGGUUCUAAGUCUGACAGUAGAAUGGGGGGUAAGUAUGGAAAGGCAAGGUCCUAGCUAUGGAGUAGUUGUACACACGGGUGUUUAGCGAGUUCAGGCCCUUCUCUGAGGAAGUAACAGCCCUACGUCUCGGAGCCCGGAGGCGGUCGACUGAUCUCUGUGUAUAUGAGUUACAGGGGUGCGAAACUUUCUACCAGUGGAGGGGGGUGGCUUAUAUAGAGGACGCCAGGACCCCAGCCAGCCCACGUAGGGGGGGUAAAAGUACAUUAAGGCUGGGCGUUAUUGGUAACGCCCUACAUAAAGUGUCAUCAUGACCAUUAAGACUAUUUAAUUACAAACCGUUUGGAUGCAGAGUAGAUCCUGAACUUCCGAUAGUCGAGUGCGUCUUCAUGGUCGAGUGUCUUCUAGCCGGUCGAGUGGAGUCUCCCUUGGUCGAGUGGAGCUUCUUUUGGUCGACUGGAAGGUAGCUUCAUAUGAUAAUGUCCUUGGGCAUGGUAUCCUAGAUAGGUCCAUGACCCUACCCUAGGUACAUAACCUCAUCAGUGACCCCGUGGACGAAAAAGGUCUGAACAUUUUUCUGAUUUGCACACACCCUGUCGAUCCUGGACACACCAGAAAAGGCCAAUCUUUUUUAUUUAGCUGCCUAUGUUUUUACACAAAACUAUGAAGAACAUAGAGGGCAGCUUUGGGUCACGGAAAAAACUUAUACUGUGUGCAAAAGAAAUCAUGAUUUCAGCAGCACUGAAUAUGUACAGCAAAGGUCGAAACAAUUUAUCAAAAAAUGUGUCUGUGUUUCAUUCUUCCGCAAUACAAUAAGAAGUCCACCACUAAAGCUUUUUCCUCCUCCACAAGUAAAGUCCCUUAUCCUCCGGUCGGCGUCGCCGUCGGUCCGCCCCAUCUCUGAUGGCCUCUGGGCCAUGGAGUCGCCGAGGAUCCCAGCCCUUGUUCUCCUCCUUGUUAGAUUUAGCGUCUUGGUUGGGGUUGGGUGGAGGCGGCGAUGUCCCUUAAUAGGAAUAAUGUAUGAUUGGUUAUCUUUGUAAGUAUCUUCGAGUUAUCAGUUUGGUUUGGCCUACUAGAUUUAUCUUUCUUGCAAUGUUAGAAGUGCUUAGCUUUGGGUUCAAUCUUGCGGUGUCCUUUCCCAGUGACAGCAGGGGCAGCAAGGCACGUAUUGUAUUGUUGUCAUCGAGGAUAAAAAGAUGGGGUUUAUAUCAUAUUGCUUGAGUUUAUCCCUCUACAUCAUGUCAUCUUGCCUAAUGUGUUACUUUGUUCUUAUGAAUUUAAUACUCUAUAUGCAAGCUGGAUAGCGGUCAAUGUGUGGAGUAAUAGUAGUAAAUGCAGGCACGAGUCGGUCUACUUGUCGUGGACGUGAUGCCUUGAUACGUCUCCAACGUAUCUAUAAUUUUUUAUUGUUCCAUGCUAUUAUAUUACCCGUUUUGGAUGUUUAUGGACUUUACUUUACACUUUUAUAUUAUUUUUGGGACUAACCUACUAACCGGAGACCCAACCCGUAUUGCUGUUUUUUUUGCCUAUUUCAGUGUUUUGAAGAAAAGGAAUAUCAAACAGAGUCCAAACGGAAUGAAACCUUCAGGAGCGUGAGUUUUGGAACAAACGUGAUCCAAGGGACUUGGAGUGCAAGUCAAGAAGCAAUCGAGGCGGCCACCAGGGUGGAGGGCGCCCCCUAUCUCGUGGGCCCCUCGGGCGUCCACCGACCUACUUCUUCCUCCUAUAUAUACCCACGUACCACGAGAACAUCAAAGGCGACCACGAAAAACUAUUUCCACCACCGUAACCUUCUGUAUUCACGAGAUCCCAUCUUGGAGCCUUCGUCAUUGCUCCAUCGGAGAGGGAAUCAACCAUGGAGGGCUUCUACAUCAACACCAUAGCCUCUCCAAUUAGUUGUGAGUAGUUUACCACAGACCUUCGGGUCCAUAGUUAUUAGCUAGAUGGCUUCUUCUCUCUCUUUGAAUCUCAAUAUCAUGUUCUCCUCGAUCUUCUUGGAGAUCUAUACGGUGUAACUCUUUUUGCGAUGUGUUUGUCUCGAUCCGAUGAAUUGUGGGUUUAUGAUCAAGUUUAUCUAUGAGAAAUAUUUGAAUCUCCUCUGAAUUCUUUUAUGUGUGAUUAAGUUAUCUUUGCAAGUCUCUUCAAAUUAUCAGUUUGGUUUGGCCUACUAGAUUGAUCUUUCUUGCAAUGGGAGAAGUUCUUAGCUUUGGGUUCAAUCUUGCGGUGUCCUUUCCCAGUGACAGCAGGGGCAGCAAGGCAUGUAUUGUAUUGUUGUCAUCGAGGAUAAAAAGAUGGGGUUCAUAUCAUAUUGCAUGAGUUUAUCCCUCUACAUCAUGUCAUCUUUCUUAAUGCGUUACUCUGUUAUUUAUGAACUUAAUACUCUAGAUGCAUGCUGGAUAGCGGUCGAUGUGUGGAGUAAUAGUAGUAGAUGCAGGCAGGAGUCGGUCUACUUGUUAUGGACGUGAUGCCUAUAUACAUGAUCAUGCCUAGAUAAUCUCAUAAUUAUUUGCUUUUCUAUCAAUUGCUCGACAGUAAUUUGUUCACCCACCGUAAUACUUAUGCUAUCUUGAGAGAAGCCACUAGUGAAACCUAUGGCCCCCGGGUCUAUCUUUUAUCAUAUAAGCUUUCAAUCUACUUUUAUUUGCAUCUUUACUUUUCCAAUCUAUAUUAUAAAAUACCAAAAAUAUAUUUAUCUUAUCAUACUAUCUCUAUCAGAUCUCACUUUCGUAAGUGGCCGUGAAGGGAUUGACAACCCCGUUAUUGCGUUGGUUGCGAGUUCUUGUUUGUUUGUGUAGGUGCGUCGGACUUUUGAGGAGCCUCCUACUGGAUUGAUACCUUGGUUCUCAAAAACUGAGGGAAAUACUUACGCUACUAUUGUUGCAUCACCCUUUCCUCUUCAAAGAAAACCAACGCAAGCUCAAGACGUAGCAUGCCUAUAUACAUGAUCAUGCCUAGAUAUUCUCAUAACUAUGCACUUUUCUAUCAACUGCUCGACAGUAAUUUGUUCACCCGCCGUAAUAUUUAUGCUAUCUUGAGAGAAGCCACUAGUGAAACCUAUGGCCCCGGGUCUAUUUUCCAUCAUAUAAGUUUCCGAUCUACUUUAUUUAGCAAUCUUUACUUUUCAAUCUAUAUCAUAAAAAUACCAAAAAUAUUUAUCUUAUUAUUAUCUCUAUCAUAUCUCACUUUCGCAAGUGGCCGUGAAAAGAUUGACAACCCCUUUAUCGCGUUGGUUGCGAGGUUCUUGUUUGUUUAUGUAGGUACGAGGGACUUGCGUGUAGCCUCCUACUGGAUUGAUACCUUGGUUUUCAAAAGUUGAGGGAAAUACUUACGCUACUUUGCUGCAUCACCCUUUCCCGCUUCAAGGGAAAACCAACGCAGUGCUCAAGAGGUAGCAAGAAGGAUUUCUGGCGCCGUUGCCGGGGAGGUCUACGCACAAGUCAAGACAUACCAAGUACCCAUCACAAACUCUUCUCCUCGCAUUACAUUAUUUUCCAUUUGCCUCUUGUUUUCCUUUCCCCCACUUCACCCUUGCCGUUUUAUUCGCGCUCCCUUUCCCGUUCGCCUCUUUUUCCGCUUGCUUCUUGUGGUACUUGCUUUCACUAUGUCUGAAACUGGGGAGGUUAUCAUUGAUAAGGACAAUAGUAAUAACAUGGGAAACUUUGAUGCUUUUGAUGAUCCUACUGAAGAAACCACUAUCUUACAUACUAAAAGAUUUCGAAUCGGUAGUGGUAAUAUUAUUGGAAAAGGGGUUAUUCAAGAUUCUUUACUUGUGUUGGUGCUUUACCUUCUAUGGGUGGAUCUAUUCUUCAUAGAACUAGUAGUCUUGCGGAUGCUAUAUCCUUGCUUAUAGUUGAACUUGAAAGACAGUUUAUGCAUAUGCAUCCUUGCAUACAAAGGAUUUUUCUAGAAUUUUCCAAUAUUGAGCAUUCUUCUGUUAAGCGCGCAGCUACUAUCUUUUUGGCACAUGAGUUCAGAUUUAUAAUAAAAGAAGCCAGAGAAAUCUUUGCGCACUAUAGGGUGGACGCUGGUCGCCCUCCCAUUUAGGCGAUCCUUUUUAAUCAAGAAGACAUAAUGCGUUUACAAUCCUUAGAUCGUGUUGCUUUUAAUGAAAACCUUAGGAAAAAGGUUCCUACCGAUGUUCUAGUUGAUAGAAUCUCUGAACUUAAUGAUGAUUUUGCUAUUCAUAACAAUGGGUUGGGAUUUUCUCUUGAGCAAAGGCUCAUGACUUUUUGCCAAAAGAAUGCUUAUAAUGAUGAAUUGGUUGUGUAAUAUGAAGGGCCAAAGGAGGAACCCAUACCUCCCGAGCUUGAUCUUGGGGACUUUUGUCCCAUUAAAUUUAGCCCUUUUGAUUACUUUUGCUUGCCACAAAGAAAACUUGUUGUUGAACGUAGGGAAUAUGAGAUGAGUUUUCGUGAUUUACCUUAUCAUUACGGCAAUAAUUAGAUCUAUUCUCGCUUUUAUGCCUAGCUAGGGGCGUUAAACGAUAGCGCUUGUUGGGAGGCAACCCAAUUUUAUUUUUGUUCUUUACUUUUUGCUCCUGUUUAGUAUUAAAUAAUUCAUCUAGCCUCUGGUUAGAUGUGGUUUUAUGUUUUAGUUAGUGUUUGUGCCAAAUAGAACCUAUAGGAUCAUCUUGGGUGAUAGUUAAUUUGAUCUUGCUAAAAAACAGAAACUUUUGCGCACACGAGAAUAAUUUUAAUAAAUCACAGAAACAUGAUUUUGAGUUGAUUAUUUUUUAAGAAGAUUAAUAGACAAAUUUACUAGGACUUCCUAUUUUCGUAGGACUUUUAAGGUUCUAGAAGUAUUCGAAAGUUACAGAUUACUACAGACUGUUCUGUUUUUGACAGAUUCUGUUUUUUGUGUGUUGUUUGCUUAUUUUGAUGAAUCUAUGGCUAGUAUCGGGGGGUAUGAACCAUAGAUAAGUUGGAAUACUGCAGGUUUAACACCAAUAUAAAUAAAGAAUGAUUUCAUUACAGUACCUUAAAGUGGUGGUUUGCUUUUUUGCACUAACGGAGCUCAUGAGAUUUUUUGUUGAGUUUUGUGUUGUGAAGUUUUCAAGUUUUGGGUAAAGAUUUGAUGGAUUAUGGAAUAAGGAGUGGCAAGAGCCUAAGCUUGGGUAUGCUCAAGGCACCCCAAGAUAAAUUCAAGGACAACCAAAAGCCUAAGCUUGGGGAUGCCCCGGAAGGCAUCCCCUUGUCUUCAUCUAUCAGUAACUUUACUUGGAGCUAUAUUUUUAUUCACCACAUGAUAUGUGUUUUGCUUGGAGCGUCUUGAAUGAUAUGAGUCUUUGAUUUUUAGUUUACCACAAUCAUCCUUGCUGUACACACAUUUUGGGAGAGACACACAUGAAUCGGAAUUUAUUAGAAUACUCUAUGUGCUUCACUUAUAUCUUUUGAGCUAGAUAAUUUUGCUCUAGUGCUUCACUUAUAUCUUUUUAGAGCACGGCGGUGGUUUUAUUUUGUAGAAAUUAUUGAUCUCUCAUGCUUCACUUAUAUUAUUUUGAGAGUCUUUUAGAACAGCAUGGUAUUUGCUUUGGUUAUAAAAUUAGUCCUAAUAUGAUGGGCAUCCAAGUUGGGUAUAAUAAAAAUUGUCAUAGAAAGUGCAUGAAACACUAUAAGAAAUUUGAUACUUGAUAAUUGUUUUGAGAUAUAAAGGUGGUAAUGUUAGAGUCAUGCUAGUUGGGUAAUUAUGAAAUUGAGAAAUACUUGUGUUAAAGUUGGCAAGUCCCGUAGCAUGCACGUAUGGUAAACGUUGUGUGACAAAUGUGUUGCACGGGGUGUUCUUUUGAUUGCCUUCCUUAUGUGUGGAGGUCGGGAUCGCGCGAUGGUUAACUCCUACCAACCCUUCCCCUAGGAGCAUGCGUAGUAGUACUUUGCUUCGAGGGCUAAUAAACUUUUGCAAUAAGUAUAUGAGUUCUUUAUGACUAAUGUGAGCCCAUGGAUUAUACGCACUCUCACCCUUCCACCAUUGCUAGCCUCUCUUGUGCCGCGCAACUUUCGCCAGUAUCAUACACCCACCAUUUACCUUCCUCAAAACAGCCACCAUACCUACCUAUUAUGGAAUUUCUAUAGCCAUUCCAAGAUAUAUUGCCAUGCAACUCUCCACCGUUCCGUUUAUUAUGACACGCUCCAUCAUUGUCAUAUUGCUUUUGCAUGAUCAUGUAGUUGACAUCGUAUUUGUGGCAAAGCUACCGUUAUAAUUCUUUCAUACAUGUCACUCUUGAUUCAUUGCAUAUCCUGGUACACCGCUGGAGGCAUUCACAUAGAGUCAUAUUUUGUUCUAAGUAUUGACUUGUAAUUCUUGAGUUGUAAAUCAAUAAAAGUGUGAUGAUCUUCAUUAUUAGAGCAUUGUCCCAAGUGAGGAAAGGAUGAUGGAGACUAUGAUUCCCCCACAAGUCACUAUGAGACUCCGGACCUCAUGAUAAAUAAAAGAGGCCAAAGAAGCCCAAAUAAAAAAGAGAGGCCAAAGAAGCCCACCCAAAAAAAUGAGAGAAAAAGAGAGAAGGGACAUUGUUACUAUGCUUUUUCCAGACUUGUGCUUCAAAGUAGCACCAUGAUCCUCAUGGUAGAGUCUCCUAUGUUGUCACUUUCAUAUACUUGUGGGAAUUUUUCAUUAUAGAACUUGGCUUGUAUAUUACAAUGAUGGGCUUCCUCAAAAUGCCCUAGGUCUUUGUGAGUAAGCGAGUUGGAUGCACACCCACUUAGUUUCUUUUGUUGAGCUUUCACACAUUUAUAGCUCUAGUGCAUCUGUUGCAUGGCAAUCCCUACUCACUCACGUUGAUAUCUAUUAAUGGGCAUCUCCAUAGGCCGUUGAUACGCCUAGUCAAUGUGAGACUUUCUCCUUUUUUGUCUUCUCCACACAACCUCCAUCAUCAUAUUCUAUUCCACCCAUAGUGCUAUAUCCAUGGCUUACGCUCAUGUAUUGCGUGAGAGUUGAAAACGCUGAAGCGCGUUAAAAAGUAUGAACCAAUUGCUUGGCUGAAACCGGGGUUAUGCAUGAUGGGAGUAUUUUGUGUGACAAAAAUGAAGCAUAGCCUAACUAUAUGAUUUUGUAGGGAUAAGCUUUCUUUGGCUACAUUAUUUUGAUAAGACAUGAUUACUUGUUAGUAUGCUUAAAGUAUUACUAUUUUUAUGUUAAUAUGAACUUUUAUUUUGAAUCAUUUGGAUCUGAACAUUCAUGCCACAAUAAAGAAAAUUACAUUGAGAAAUAUGCUAGGUAGCAUUCCACAUCAAAAAUUCUGUUUUUAUCAUUUACCUACUCGAGGACGAGCAGGAAUUAAGCUUGGGGAUGCUUGAUACGUCUCCAAGGUAUCUAUAAUUUUUUAUUGUUCCAUGCUAUAUAUUACCCGUUUUGGAUAUUUAUGGGUUUUACUAUACACUUGUAUAUCAUUUUUUGGACUAACCUAUUAACCGGAGGCCCAGCCCAAAUUGUUGUUUUUGCCUAUUUCAGUGUUUCGCAGAAAAGGAAUAUCAAACGGAGUCCAAACGGAAUGAAACCUUCGGGAGAGUUAUUUUUAAAACAAACGCAAUCCAGGAGACUUGGAGUGGAUGUCAAGAAAAAAACAAGGCGGCCAUGAGGCAGGGAGGCGCGCCCUAGGGGGGUGGGCGCGCCCCCCACCCUCGUGGGCCCCUCGUGGCUCCUCUGACCGACUUUCUUCGCCUAUAUAUAUCUACAUACCCUGAAAACAUCCAGGAGCACCACGAAACCCUAUUUCCACAACCGCAACCUUCUGUACCCGUGAGAUCCCAUCUUGGAGCUUUUUCCGGCGCUCCGCCGGAGGGGGAAUCGAUCACGGGGGGCUUCUACAUCAACACCAUAGCCUCUCCGAUGAGUUGUGAGUAGUUUAUCACAGACCUUCGGGUCCAUAGUUAUUAGCUAGAUGGCUUCUUCUCUCUCUUGAAUCUCAAUACAAAGUUCUCCUCGAUCUUCUUGGAGAUCUAUUCGAUGUAAUUCUUUUUGCGAUGUGUUUGUGGAGAUCCAUGAAUUGUGGGUUUAUGAUCAAGUUUAUCCAUGAGAAAUAUUUGAAUCUCCUCUAAAUUCUUUUAUAUAUGAUUGGUUAUCUUUGCAAGUCUCUUCGAAUUAUCAGUUUGCUUUGGCCUACUAGAUUUAUCUUUUUUGCAAUGGGAGAAGUGCUUAGCUUUGGGUUCAAUCUUGCGGUGUCCUUUCCCAGUGACAGCAGGGGCAGCAAGGCACGUAUUGUAUUGUUGCCAUCGAGGAUAAAAAGAUGGGGUUUAUAUCAUAUUGCUUGAGUUUAUCCCUCUACAUUAUGUCAUCUUGCCUAAUGCGUUACUUUGUUCUUAUGAACUUAAUACUCUAGAUGCAUGCUGGAUAGCGGUCGAUAUGUGGAGUAAUAGUAGUAGAUGCAGGCAGCAAUCGGUCUACUUGUCGCGGACGUGAUGCCUAUAUACAUGAUCAUGCCUAGAUAUUCUCAUAACUAUGCACUUUUCUAUCAAUUGCUCGACAGUAAUUUGUUCACCACCGUAAUACGUAUGCUAUCUUGAGAGAAGCCACUAGUGAAACCUCUGGCCCACGGGUCUAUCUUUUAUCAUAUAAGCUUUCAAUCUACUUUUAUUUGCAUCUUUACUUUUCCAAUCUAUAUUAUAAAAAACCAAAAAUAUAUUUAUCUUAUCAUACUAUCUCUAUCAGAUCUCACUUUCGCAAGUGGCCGUGAAGGGAUUGACAACCCCUUUAGCGCAUUGGUUGCGAGGUUCUUGUUUGUUUGUGUAGGUACGAGGGACUUGCGCGUAGCCUCCUACUGGAUUAAUACCUUGGUUCUCAAAAGCUGAGGGAAAACUUACGCUACUUUGCUGCAUCACCCUUUCCUCUUCAAGGGAAAACCAACACAGGGCUCAAGUGGUAGCAAUGGGUUUUCCACUGAAUCUCACAUUCCAGGAUCCUAGCAUUUAUAGCAUGAAAUAUAAACUCUUAAUAAUGAACCUGGAAAUAUAAUAAUAUUAUAUUAUUGCCUCUAGGGCAUAUUUCCAAUAGUAUUCAACUUGCACUGAAGUCAAUAAUCUAGUUAGCACAUUUUUAUUUACACCAAUGGCAGUCUGGUGUUUGUCCAUACUCAGCUUGUGGUAUAGCCUUCAUCCCAUUGGAUCUUGAAAACUUCAUAUCCACGUGUAUCAUAUGCAUUUCAAUGCCUCUAUCAUGAUGGCUUUGUAUGUAUUGAAUCACUAGAAGGACCUAUGAUUCCUUGGACUGAGCUAUAGAACCACUAUUAAGUAUAGUGUUUCAUUGGCACAAUCAUCUAGAAAUCAUAACAAUCUCAUAAAUGAAAGUGUUAUUGAUCACUCUCCAUUGUUGCUUCUAAAGCAACAAUCUACUCAGCCCUCUGUUAUAGAUUUCACCACAGUAACCAACAACCCAACAAACACACUGCAAAAAACAUUACAUCGGAUAGAACUCCAAGAAGAUCGAGGAGAACAUUGUAUUGAAGAUCAAAGAGAGAAGAAGCCACUAGCUACUAGCUAUGGACUCGUAGGUCUGCGGUGAAUUGCUCACACAUCAUCGGAAGGCGGCACGGAUGAUGCAGAAGCCCUCAGUGAUCGAUUCCCCCUCCGGCGGAGUACCGGUAAAGCCCUCCAGAUGGAAUCGCGGAAGAAUAGAAGCUUGUGGUGGUGGAAAAAGUGUUUCGGAUGGCUCUCUGUUGGUUUGGGAAUAUUUGUGAAUUUAUAGGCUUGGAAUUAGGUCAAACGGAGUUGCGUGGGCCCAUAAGCUCAGGGGGCGCACUUUGUGAGCUCGUGGCUCUCUUGUAGCUCUUCUGGCCUCCUCCCGAACCUUCUAGGACCCCUUCUGGUCCAGAGAAAAUAACCAUAAUUCAUCGUAUUUGGACUUCGUUUGGUAUUGUUUUUCUGAAAAGCCAAAACAAGUAAAAAAUAGGAACUAGCACUGGGCAAUGGGUUAAUAGGUUAGUCCCAAAAGUGGUAUAAAAUAGCAUAAAAAUGCAUAUAAUCCAGGAUUGAUAAUAUAAUAGCAUGAAACAAUCAAAAGUUAUAGAUAUAUUGGAGACGUAUCAGCAUUCCCAAGCUUAAUUCCUGCUCGUCCUUGAGUAGGUAAAUGAGAAUAACAGAAUUUUUGUGUAUACAUGUAUUAUUUGUAGUGAGAUAUGUACAUGACAAAGAGCGAUACUACUGCCAGGAUCAGACCAAUGUACAUGACAUAAGAAAGAGGUGGCACAUCUCUGAAUGCAAGGUCCAUGGCAACAAGCAGACGCAAUGGAAAAGACAGAUUGUUUUGUCAUCUUUUGCAGCGCCAUCCUUUAGUAUGUCAGGGAGCAGCUAAGGAAUGAAAUCAUGCUCCAUUUUGGAUCAUAAGAUUUUAAUUUGACCAUAAGCUAAGCCUCCACCACACGAAAAGUGAUGAAAAUACAAAAUUUGUUAUGUGAUGCAAUACAAUGCAAAUCUUAUGUACUCCCUCUGUAAAGAAAUAUAAGAGCGUUUAGAUCAUUACUUUACACGUUACCAUCGUAAUCUCAAGCUUUGAAUUUAGUACUACUCAUUAAUCAAUUGUGUGAUCUUAAGAAAAUGCUAUACCUCUAAAAUGAACAACUAAAAGGUCAUGAGACACGUAGUGAUCUCCAAAUAAAUUGGUUGUUCUAGGGGAAAAGUGAUGAAAAGUGUUGUUCUAGGGGAAAAGUGAUGACAAGCAUGGAUUAUCUGUUUCGUCAUCUUGGGAGGGGGAGGGUCAUCCACAUGACCACAAGCCAAGCCCACACCCCACGUCAAGUGAUGCAAAUCCCAAUCAUGUCAUGUCAUGAUUUACAAUGCAAAUCUUCUUUAAAACUUUACACAUUGGCAUCACUAUCUUAAGCUUGGCAUUUGGUACUCCCUACGAUCCAUAUUUGUUGUCGCUCAAACGGAUGUAUCUAGCACUAAAAUACAUCUAGAUACAUCUGUUUCAGCGACAACUAAUAUGAAUCAAAGGGAAUACUACUAAUUAGUUGUGUGAUCUUAAUAAAACACCAUGCUUCUAAAAUGAACAGGUCACGAGGCGUGUACCAAUCUCCAGAUGAAUUUGAUGUUCUACAGAAUUCAUAUGUGCGGAAAGAUAAGACUGAAAACCGCACACUUACCCGGGAUAGGAUGGGAUAUUUUGAGAAAUAGAUAAGGAUUAGUUCAGGUUUCUCCCAUAUAUACGAAAUGACUGGACGAUGACUAAUUAAACGAGAGACAACAAACCACUUAUCUUCCUUUAUGACUCAAUUGAUCGAGAGCCUUCCCAAGUUGCUUUUGCGGUUUUGUUGGUCACAAUGCAGAUGCUUUGAACCUUUGCACAACCGUGGGCAUGUGGCUCCCGUUAAAUAGCCACAAGAUACCAUAAAAUUAGCACUUCCAAAGUUCCCAUUUACUCUCUCUUCCUCUCAAGUCUAACCAAAGCCCAACAAACCACCACCUCGGCCAUGGCAACCACCCUCGCCACCGACGUCCGCCUCUCCAUCGCGCACCAGACCCGCUUCGCCCUCCGUCUCGCCUCCACCAUCUCAUCCAACCCUAAGUCUGCUGCCAGCAAUGCCGCCUUCUCCCCGGUCUCCCUCUACUCCGCACUUAGCCUCCUCGCCGCUGGCGCGGGCAGUGCCACUCGGGACCAACUCGUCGCCACACUCGGGACAGGCAAGGUCGAGGGACUCCACGCGCUCGCCGAGCAGGUGGUCCAGUUUGUGCUCGCCGACGCGUCCUCCACUGGUGGUCCGCNNNNNNNNNNNNNNNNNNNNNNNNNNNNNNNNNNNNNNNNNNNNNNNNNNNNNNNNNNNNNNNNNNNNNNNNNNNNNNNNNNNNNNNNNNNNNNNNNNNNNNNNNNNNNNNNNNNNNNNNNNNNNNNNNNNNNNNNNNNNNNNNNNNNNNNNNNNNNNNNNNNNNNNNNNNNNNNNNNNNNNNNNNNNNNNNNNNNNNNNNNNNNNNNNNNNNNNNNNNNNNNNNNNNNNNNNNNNNNNNNNNNNNNNNNNNNNNNNNNNNNNNNNNNNNNAAUGUAAAAGAAUUUUUAACGGACAUAAUUAUGUACAUUUGAGAGAAACAAUGACAUGCUUAACUAACUACUUCAGCCGCCUGUACAUGUUGGCAUGCCACUGCUUCACUCAAAGUGUUUGUUUUCUGCUGAUGUAAUAUAGAGGUCUGUAUUAAUCUUAUACACAUUCUAGAUUUGUAAUUUAGUGGUUAUCGUAUACCACUGUUUUUUACACUAGAAGCUUCACCUUUGUAAGCAUAGUUCGCACCUGCUACCUUGAACUGUGAAUGAUUUUGCCUAUCCUGUUAGUCGGCAUGAUUGGAGAUAACUAGUCUGUUACUUUUCUGAGCAUACCUAAUCUUUUGGGAGUGUAAUUCUCAUACCGUGCUAUCUAGGGAUAUGAAGGCUGGGGAAUUUUCUGAUGUUUUAUACUUUAAUUACGCUCUUCAGCGAAGUGAGAUUAUAAUUUUGGGAGUAUUUCCUGGAAACUUUGUCUCCAACGUAAGAAGAUGUACAAAAAAAUCAGCUAAAGAUUAUAAUUUUGGGAAUAUUUCUGUAAAAGGUAUUGCAUAGUGGUGCUUCGAGAUGUUGUGAUGGCCAUUCAAAUUUGUAUGCUCAUAUGAAUUGUUUUUCUAUCAUACGUUGUUGUAUGUGCUGAUUUAUGUGUUUGAAAAUUUUACUAUAAAAAUGCUUUAUAAAAACACUAGUAUGCUGCUUUGCAUUCUUAGCACAACUAUUAUAUUUUGUUCUUUGAAAGAAUUUUCUAUUGGUUUGUUCAAAGGUUGGUGGCACAGCAGUACCGUCAAACUAUUUUCAUUACAUAAUUGACCUUUGUUUAUUUUUUCCAUGGCCCAGGCCGCUGAAGUUACUACUCAAGUGAAUUCAUGGGUAGAGAAAGUCACGAGCGGUCGCAUCAAGGACAUUCUCCCCCCAGGAUCUAUUGACAAUACCACUAAACUUGUUCUUGCCAAUGCCCUUUAUUUCAAAGGAGCUUGGACAGAGCAGUUUGAUUCAUAUGGAACAAAAAACGACUACUUCUACCUUCUUGAUGGGAGCUCAGUUCAAACACCAUUCAUGUCCAGCAUGGAUGACCAAUACCUUUUGUCUUCUGAUGGGUUGAAGGUACUUAAGCUACCUUACAAGCAAGGUGGGGACAAUAGGCAGUUCUUCAUGUAUAUCCUUCUUCCAGAAGCACCAGGUGGUCUCUCAAGCUUGGCCGAAAAAUUGAGUGCUGAACCAGACUUCCUGGAGCGGCAUAUCCCAAGGCAGAGGGUUGCACUUAGGCAAUUCAAGCUCCCCAAGUUCAAGAUAUCAUUUGGAAUUGAAGCAUCUGAUUUGCUCAAAUGUUUGGGCCUCCAGCUUCCCUUCGGCGAUGAAGCGGAUUUUUCGGAGAUGGUGGAUUCCCUAAUGCCACAAGGUCUUCGUGUCUCAUCUGUUUUCCACCAAGCGUUUGUGGAAGUGAACGAACAAGGAACUGAGGCUGCAGCAUCAACUGCUAUUAAAAUGGUCCUGCAACAGGCAAGGCCGCCCUCGGUCAUGGAUUUCAUCGC
rnacentral:lncRNA from 1 species